AUUGAACGCUGGCGGCAGGCCUAACACAUGCAAGUCGAGCGGAUGAAGGGAGCUUGCUCCUGGAUUCAGCGGCGGACGGGUGAGUAAUGCCUAGGAAUCUGCCUGGUAGUGGGGGAUAACGUCCGGAAACGGGCGCUAAUACCGCAUACGUCCUAAGGGAGAAAGUGGGGGAUCUUCGGACCUCACGCUAUCAGAUGAGCCUAGGUCGGAUUAGCUAGUUGGUGGGGUAAAGGCCUACCAAGGCGACGAUCCGUAACUGGUCUGAGAGGAUGAUCAGUCACACUGGAACUGAGACACGGUCCAGACUCCUACGGGAGGCAGCAGUGGGGAAUAUUGGACAAUGGGCGAAAGCCUGAUCCAGCCAUGCCGCGUGUGUGAAGAAGGUCUUCGGAUUGUAAAGCACUUUAAGUUGGGAGGAAGGGCAGUAAGUUAAUACCUUGCUGUUUUGACGUUACCAACAGAAUAAGCACCGGCUAACUUCGU
rnacentral:rRNA from 1 species